UACGAAGGGGGCUAGCGUUGCUCGGAAUGACUGGGCGUAAAGGGCGCGUAGGCGGAUGGCACAGUCAGAUGUGAAAUUCCCGGGCUUAACCUGGGGGCUGCAUUUGAUACGUGUGAUCUAGAGUGAGGAAGAGGGUCGUGGAAUUCCCAGUGUAGAGGUGAAAUUCGUAGAUAUUGGGAAGAACACCGGUGGCGAAGGCGGCUCUCUGGACCGACACUGACGCUGAGGCGCGAAAGCGUGGGGAGCAAACAGG
rnacentral:rRNA from 1 species